GCUGGACAUGUUUCUGUGUUCCGGUUGCUAGGUGAUCCCCAUGGCUCCUGUGACAUCAUGUCCCAGGGAAGCCAACCUUCAUCACGGCAAAAGAACUCCAUAAAUAGGCCAGUGGGCAUUAGUAGUGUUCCAGCAAAUUCUGCCGAGUCUGCCAUGCCUUAUCAGGUAGUAUUCAGGAGCUGUGGGUGACACAGUUCAAACACGGUCAGCCAGCAGCUGUCCAUCCAAGUGACCACUUGACUUAGGAGCGUGGAGUCUGGCUCAGGACUAACCCAUUUGCAGUCUCUCACGGACAUCUUUUGUGUUGCGCUCCCAAUCGCCUUAGGUGCUUUGCACCAAGGGAAGUCCCCGUUUAUGACGGACUUCUGAACCUGCUGAGCCCUUUCCAGAGUGUUCAUGCAGCGGACAGCAGUGGAGACACAGACACCAGACCCUGGGCCUUGGUUUUACUUUGGUGAUUUUGUCACAGAGCCUCUGCCCCACCCGUGUGUUCUCCCAUCCUCGUCACACGGGACAGGGUUGAGAGAUGAUGCUUAUUAAGAAGUCAAAAGUCAACCCAUUUCAAACAACCAGGUUUUCAGGCAUACCGAGUGUCGUCUUCAAGGUCAGGCCCAUCUUUACAGUGCUCUCACAAGACAAGCCCCACUUCGGCUAGAGGUGUGGUGUAGCUGGGGAAGAGUCUGCCCAGGAUGUCCAGAGUCCCAGGGACUAUCCCCAGCUCCACAUAAACCUGGCAUGGUGGCAUGGGACUGUCCACUCAGAAUCCAGGAGGCCGAGGCUGAAGGAUCGAGGUCAGCCUCAGCUGCACGAAACCUCCAUCCUAGGGUAUUUAUUCCAGGACACAGUAGUGUACAAAGAUCCGGUCAUGAGUUCUAUAGAAAUGGAAGAACAGUCUAUAGACAGAGCAGCGGUUACGUGAGCCACACACACACAGACUUGCACAUGGUAGGAGCCUCCGUUCUCUGAGUCAAAAGAGCGAAUUGGUGGGUAGAUAGGUUUCCCUGCGGAGAUGACAGAGCUCUGCGGAGGAAAGGGUAAACGAACUAUAAAGCAGUGUAUAGAAUGGAACCUGCUCACGGUUAUGAGAGACUGCUCUUACGGGCUGAAAAAUGCACAAGAUGAACGUGUGUUAAUUAAAAUGUGUUUUAUCUA